rnacentral:rRNA from 1 species
AUUGAACGCUGGCGGCAGGCCUAACACAUGCAAGUCGAGCGGAUGAGAAGAGCUUGCUCUUCGAUUCAGCGGCGGACGGGUGAGUAAUGCCUAGGAAUCUGCCUGGUAGUGGGGGACAACGUUUCGAAAGGAACGCUAAUACCGCAUACGUCCUACGGGAGAAAGCAGGGGACCUUCGGGCCUUGCGCUAGCAGAUGAGCCUAGGUCGGAUUAGCUAGUUGGUGAGGGAAUGGCUCACCAAGGCGACGAUCCGUAACUGGUCUGAGAGGAUGAUCAGUCACACUGGAACUGAGACACGGUCCAGACUCCUACGGGAGGCAGCAGUGGGGAAUAUUGGACAAUGGGCGAAAGCCUGAUCCAGCCAUGCCGCGUGUGUGAAGAAGGUCUUCGGAUUGUAAAGCACUUUAAGUUGGGAGGAAGGGCAGUAAGUUAAUACCUUGCUGUUUUGACGUUACCGACAGAAUAAGCACCGGCUAACUCUGUGCCAGCCGCCGCCGUAACAC